UACGUAGGGUGCAAGCGUUGUCCGGAAUUAUUGGGCGUAAAGAGCUCGUAGGCGGUCUGUCGCGUCGGCUGUGAAAUCCCGGAGCUCAACUCCGGGCCUGCAGUCGAUACGGGCAGACUGGAGUUCGGCAGGGGAGACUGGAAUUCCUGGUGUAGCGGUGAAAUGCGCAGAUAUCAGGAGGAACACCCGUGGCUAAGGCGGCUCUCUAGUACGGUACUGACGCUGAGACGCGAAAGCGUGGGCAGCGAACAGG
rnacentral:rRNA from 1 species